AUUGAACGCUGGCGGCAUGCCUUACACAUGCAAGUCGAACGGCAGCGCGGGAGCAAUCCUGGCGGCGAGUGGCGAACGGGUGAGUAAUAUAUCGGAACGUGCCCAGUAGUGGGGGAUAGCCCGGCGAAAGCCGGAUUAAUACCGCAUACGACCUACGGGUGAAAGGGGGGGAUCGCAAGACCUCUCGCUAUUGGAGCGGCCGAUAUCAGAUUAGGUAGUUGGUGGGGUAAAGGCCUACCAAGCCUGCGAUCUGUAGUUGGUCUGAGAGGACGACCAGCCACACUGGGACUGGGACACGGCCCAGACUCCUACGGGAGUCAGCAGUGGGGAAGUUUGGACAAUGGGCGCAAGCCUGAUCCAGCAAUGCCGCGUGCAGGAAGAAGGCCUUCGGGUUGUAAACUGCUUUUGUCAGGGAAGAAAUCCUCUAGGCUAAUACCUUGGGGGGAUGACGGUACCUGAAGAAUAAGCACCGGCUAACUACGUGCCAGCCGCCGCAGUAAUAC
rnacentral:rRNA from 1 species